GAUGAACGCUGGCGGCGUGCCUAAUACAUGCAAGUCGAGCGAACGGACGAGAAGCUUGCUUCUCUGAUGUUAGCGGCGGACGGGUGAGUAACACGUGGAUAACCUACCUAUAAGACUGGGAUAACUUCGGGAAACCGGAGCUAAUACCGGAUAAUAUUUUGAACCGCAUGGUUCAAAAGUAAAAGACGGUCUUGCUGUCACUUAUAGAUGGAUCCGCGCUGCAUUAGCUAGUUGGUAAGGUAACGGCUUACCAAGGCAACGAUGCAUAGCCGACCUGAGAGGGUGAUCGGCCACACUGGAACUGAGACACGGUCCAGACUCCUACGGGAGGCAGCAGUAGGGAAUCUUCCGCAAUGGGCGAAAGCCUGACAGAGCAACGCCGCGUGAGUGAUGAAGGUCUUCGGAUCGUAAAACUCUGUUAUUAGGGAAGAACAUAUGUGUAAGUAACUGUGCACAUCUUGACGGUACCUAAUCAGAAAGCCACGGCUAACUACGUG
rnacentral:rRNA from 1 species